UACAGACGCGCAAGAAGAAAGGCGAUAAGGAUUGAGCUAGGAUGUAUAUUUCUGGCAGAGGUCAGAAUGGUGGGAGGCCUGGAUAAGACUUGCUGACAGAAGCAGGACCGGAUUGAGGGCUUGAAGCGGCACAUCGAGAAGCACCGCUACCAUGUACGUAUGCUGGAGACCAUCCUGCGCAUGCUGGACAAUGACUCCAUCCUGGUUGAUGCCAUCCGCAAGAUCAAGGAUGAUGUAGAGUACUACGUUGACUCAUCCCAGGACCCCGACUUUGAAGAGAAUGAGUUCCUCUAUGACGACCUGGACCUCGAGGACAUUCGUGAGGCCCUGGGCUGACCUUCAUGGCACAGAGGGUGAGGGCAGGAGGCAUAGCUGUGCCAACUAAGCAUGCUGCUCCCCUACCCCCACAGCACAGGCGCUGGUCGCCACCUCCCCCCCCAGCCACAGCCACAUGGAGGACGAGAUCUUCAACCAGUCUAGCAGUACACCCACCUCAACAACCUCCAGCUCUCCCAUCCCACCCAGCCCAGCUAACUGCACUACG
rnacentral:lncRNA from 1 species